rnacentral:rRNA from 1 species
UAUAAAAAAAUUAUUUAUUAUUUUUAAUUUAUUUAUGUUUACUUAAAUAUAAAAAUUUUAUUAUUUUAAGAAAAAAUUUUUUUUUAUUAUAAAGUACAGUACUGUGUGGGAAUUUUAUAAUAGUUUUAAAGAAAAAUUUAAUUUUUGUACCUUGUGAAUCAGGGUUAACUAAAAAAAGUUUUGUAUUAAUAGUUCCCGAAUUUAUAAGAGUUAAUAUAAAUUAAAUUUUACUGUUGAAAAAGUAAUUAUUAAUUUAUAGUGGUAAUGAAAUGUUAGUCGUUUAUAAAUAUAUCUGGUUUUUGGAGAAAAUAAUUGAAUUAUGAUUUUUAAUUUUAAUUCUAUAAGUGUUUAUAUAAUUGAAGUAAAAAAUUUAUAUAAUUAGGGAUAAGCUUAAUUAUAGAGUGUUAUUAUUAAUUAAUAUUUCUAAAUUAAUAGUAUUAUAAUUUUAUAUUUUAUUAAAAAAUUAUAUUGGAUUUAGGGGGUUUUUAUAUUUUUGUUGGGUAUAAUUGUUUUAUUUAAAUAUUUUAAGUAAUUUUUUAUUAAAUAAAUAAUGUUUGAAUUAGUAUAGAAAUUUUUAUUAAUAAGAAUUUUAAUUAGAAUUAAAAUAGUAAUUUGGCAAAACAAUUAUUUACCUGUUUAAUAAAAACAUGUCUUUUUGAUUAUAAUUUAAAGUCUAACCUGCCCAAUGAUAAUUAAAUGGCCGCAGUAAUUUGACUGUGCUAAGGUAGCAUAAUCAUUAGUUUCUUAAUUGGAAGCUGGAAUGAAGGGUUGGAUAAAAUAAUAACUUUCUUUUUUAAUAUACUAUAAUUUUAUUUUUAAGUUAAAAAGCUUAAAUUUUUUAAAGGGACGAGAAGACCCUAUAGAGUUUUAUUUGUAUAUUUGUAAUUAAAUUUAGUAUUAAUAUUUUUACCAAUAAAUGAAUUUGAUUGGGGUGAUUGAAAAAUUUAAAUAACUUUUUUUAAUUUAGUACAUUAAUUUAUGAUUAAUUGAUCCAAUGAAUUUGAUUAUAAGAAUAAACUACCUUAGGGAUAACAGCGUAAUAUAUUUUAGAGUUCUUAUCGAAAAAUGUGAUUGCGACCUCGAUGUUGGAUUAAAAUAAAUUUUUGGCGAAGAAGUUAAAAAAUUAGGUCUGUUCGACCUUUGAAAUUUUACAUGAUCUGAGUUUAAACCGGUGUGAGCCAGGUUGGUUUUUAUCUUUUAACAAUUAGGAAUUUUUAGUACGAAAGGAUUAAAA